rnacentral:rRNA from 1 species
CCUACGGGUGGCAGCAGUGGGGAAUAUUUCGCAAUGGGCGAAAGCCUGACGCAGCGACGCCGCGUGAGGGAUGAAGGUCUUCGGAUCGUAAACCUCUGUCAGCAGGGAAGAACGGUCACUGUGCUAAUCAGCAGUGAAUUGACGGUACCUGCAAAGGACGCACCGGCUAACUCCGUGCCAGCAGCCGCGGUAAUACGGAGGGUGCGAGCGUUAAUCGGAAUUACUGGGCGUAAAGCGCUCGUAGGCGGUAUGUCAAGUCAAGGGGGAAAUCCCCGCGCUCAACGUGGGAACUGCCUUUGAAACUGGGAAACUGGAGUGUGUGAGAGGAUAGUGGAAUUCCAGGUGUAGGAGUGAAAUCCGUAGAUAUCGGGAGGAACAUCAGUGGCGAAGGCGACUAUCUGGCACAUAACUGACGCUGAGGAGCGAAAGCGUGGGGAGCAAACGGGAUUAGAUACCCCGGUAGUC